AUUGAACGCUGGCGGCAGGCCUAACACAUGCAAGUCGAGCGGAUGAAGGGAGCUUGCUCCUGGAUUCAGCGGCGGACGGGUGAGUAAUGCCUAGGAAUCUGCCUGGUAGUGGGGGAUAACGUCCGGAAACGGGCGCUAAUACCGCAUACGUCCUGAGGGAGAAAGUGGGGGAUCUUCGGACCUCACGCUAUCAGAUGAGCCUAGGUCGGAUUAGCUAGUUGGUGGGGUAAAGGCCUACCAAGGCGACGAUCCGUAACUGGUCUGAGAGGAUGAUCAGUCACACUGGAACUGAGACACGGUCCAGACUCCUACGGGAGGCAGCAGUGGGGAAUAUUGGACAAUGGGCGAAAGCCUGAUCCAGCCAUGCCGCGUGUGUGGAGAAGGUCUUCGGAUUGUAAAGCACUUUAAGUUGGGAGGAAGGGCAGUAAGUUAAUACCUUGCUGUUUUGACGCUACCAACAGAAUAAGCACCGGCUAACUUCGUG
rnacentral:rRNA from 1 species